GAGGAAUAGUAAGAAAUCAAAGCUUGUUUUUCUCAGAGAUGGCGCCACCACAUUAAAAGUAAAAUCAUUUUUCUUGUAUGGACAAAUCGUUGGCUUGCACUCCUUUUCUGCUUGUUUACACUGUUAUCACGUUUACCGCAUUUAUCAGAAAAGCGCCACUACCGGCACUUUAGCAAAGGCACAGCUGCUUACUUCCUAUU